UGAAAUCUGGUGUUUCUGAAUGUGGUAGGUUUGGACUUUUUGCAUGUUUUAAAUCUAUCAUCUAUAUAUGCUAAUUUAUUAAGUAGAUUUCAGUUCCUCCAAAUGAAAUGAUCCAAACGGCCCCUUAGGUUUAUUUUUUAUAAUAGAUAGAUCUUUGGAGAAGAAAUCUGCUACUUCUUCCAUAUUAUACAGCUCUUUUCAAAGGGCUGCCAUUCAAUAAUUUCUUUUAGUUCCUAUCUUUGCGACUUUUUUGUGCAAUCAGUAUCGAUGUUGCUGCUAUUUCUUAUCUGUUUAUUGUUGAUUCCUCAAAAUAAUCUGUUAGUUCCUAAUCAUUCUUUUAGAAGAAAAUAAUGUGUCUCAAAAGCCGAAGCAGAUGGAGUGUCACUGUUGGGUGGGAAAGAUAUAGCCUGCCGUCUCCCGGAGACCUGCUCAAAGCAAUCAGAUUGCUGCAAGGAUGCAUAAUUACUAAUGAAAAUGAUGGUAGCUAUAAGGUGCAGGAGCUCCACCUACCUGGAGUGGUCUCCAAACACAAAUCAGUUGCUUGAGAAAUGUUCAAAGCAUAAACAGAAGAGUGUAGAGUUGGAGUUUCCUUUCUCUCCUCUGAAGAUGUAUUCAGUUUUUCUGCUGCACCUUCUUAAAUUCUAGUGGCUAACUCUUAGCACGCAAUGGUUAGGGCCUUUCAUAUACUGUUUAGAAUCCUAGCUGAUGGUGGCCUAGCUAGACCUUUUUCUCUUAAUCUUUCUGCUCUGUAAUUCUCCGAAUGCUUGGAAAUGUAGAGAGUAACAGGAGAUGUAGUUCUCAUUUCUGAUGUCCCCAGGAGCAUAAGAACUGCUAGUAAACCAUACAGUAGUUUAAAAGAUCAACUAAGGGGGUGUUUGGAUCUUUA